rnacentral:rRNA from 1 species
UAGGGAAUCUUCCACAAUGGACGCAAGUCUGAUGGAGCAACGCCGCGUGAGUGAAGAAGGUCUUCGGAUCGUAAAACUCUGUUGUUAGAGAAGAACACGAGUGAGAGUAGAAAGUUCACACAGUGACGGUAACUUACCAGAAAGGGACGGCUAACUACGUGUCAG